CAUCGAUCGAAUGUUUUUUUUUUUUUUACAUUCACCGCGUGUAUUAACAAAGUUUCCGACACGGAAAAGGGUGUUUAUUUUUCGAAUUGUUUCCGGGGCUUCGAAUUAGGUGGAUCAAUACGUCCGAACAGCGCGCUGUUGAAUGCCGGUGAAAACGGACAGGUCGACACCGCGCGAUCGCAAUCCGACCGGCAACGAAAUGUUAAUUUUCGUUCUCGAACCCGCCACCUUCUAGCCAGUAAAAAUUCUCGCUACAAGAAAACACGUUUAUUAUCAAAAUAAAUGACAUAUAUACGAACGGAAUAACAAAUAAGAUAUUUUCCUUAAACUAUUAUUGUUGGAGUAGUGUGGUUUCCAAGCUGUAAGAAA